rnacentral:rRNA from 1 species
CAGUGAUGUCUGAGCAAAUUAUUUAAAAUAAGCAAAACUUUCAACAACGGAUCUCUUGGUUCCGGCAUCGAUGAAGAACGCAGCGAAAUGCGAUAAGUAAUGUGGACCGCAGUACUCAGCGACUCAUCGAAUCUUUGAACGCACAUUGCGCCCCUU